CUCUUGAGUAGAACAUUAAUGAAGUUAAAAUCAACAGGUCCUCACUCGACUCAGUGUGCAAGUAAAGCACCUUAAAAAGGGACUAAAAGAAACGGGCAUCUGGCCACUGAUUACCUCUAGACCUGAUGUGGUGCCACUCCUUUUCCCCCGAGAAUGUGAAGUUGAAAUCACUCCCCAGAUGGUCCUGCAGUCAAUCAUUUGGCCUCAGGCGAGGCAAACUGAUGAGAGUGAGGACAGUGAUGACCUGGAAUCAGAAACCAUGCAAGUGGCAGGGUUCUUCCGUCAGUUUGUCGAAGAAGCAUCUUCAGACAAUCUGCGCCAGCUCAUGAGAUUCUGGGUUGGCUGGGAGGUUCCAUGCCAAGACCUCAAGCUGGAAAUAGUGCAGUCCACUGGACCAAGGCACCUGCCCACCUCCUCCACCUGUAACGAGCGUUUACGCCUUCCAAGCCAUUACAGUACUUAUUCUGCUCUACUGGCAGACAUGAUGGUGUGUCUUAAAUCUGUAGAGACAGGC